GAUGAACGCUGGCGGCGUGCCUAAUACAUGCAAGUCGAGCGAACAGACGAGGAGCUUGCUCCUCUGACGUUAGCGGCGGACGGGUGAGUAACACGUGGAUAACCUACCUAUAAGACUGGGAUAACUUCGGGAAACCGGAGCUAAUACCGGAUAACAUGUUGAACCGCAUGGUUCAACAGUGAAAGACGGUUUUGCUGUCACUUAUAGAUGGAUCCGCGUCGCAUUAGCUAGUUGGUAAGGUAACGGCUUACCAAGGCAACGAUGCGUAGCCGACCUGAGAGGGUGAUCGGCCACACUGGAACUGAGACACGGUCCAGACUCCUACGGGAGGCAGCAGUAGGGAAUCUUCCGCAAUGGGCGAAAGCCUGACGGAGCAACGCCGCGUGAGUGAAGAAGGUCUUCGGAUCGUAAAACUCUGUUAUUAGGGAAGAACAAAUGUGUAAGUAACUAUGCACGUCUUGAUGGUACCUAAUCAGAAAGCCACGGCUAACUACGUG
rnacentral:rRNA from 1 species